CGUUCUCUAACAUCGCGUAGAGUUGGUAGUCUCGCGACAAAUUCAUAUUGCCCUAGCAAUGCCGUACUGUUCCGUUUUGGAGUGUAAAAAUGAUAGUAGGACAAAAAAUCUUAAAAAUGGAGGUAUUUCGUAUCAUCGGUUUCCCAAAGAUGCAAGCAUCAAAGAGAAAUGGAUAGAUGCAACGAGUAGAGUUAAUUGGAUACCAACCGAACUGUUCGUCAGCUGUUGAAAGGAUAAACAGAGUCUCAAGAUAUGUCACAAUACGAUCAAAUUGAGGACGAUUCAGAAAUUGAAGAACUAGGAGGGCACUUUUCUGAUUUCAGUAAUAAAGCAAUAGCCCAUAUUGCUGGUUACAUUGCCCGAAUGUUAAUGAAAAAAAUAAACUGUGAUGUCUGUGUUGACGCAUUAGUGACACAUCAUUUUCAACCAGAGAUUUUCGAAAAGAAGUAGCGAUAACUCAAAUAAUGCGAAAGUUCAUAGGAACUCUUUUAUUUAACGAUAUUGCCUCCCAUCAAAUUGGCGAAUUUCUUGCGUCCAAUCACGUUACCGAUUUGAUGAAGGCAAUAGUCGAAAAAUAUAUAAAUGUUCGCAUACAUCAUUUAUUAAAAUUAAAAAUAAGACUUUCGAAACGCCAGUUUCUUAACAAAUAUGUUUUAUUUCAAGGGCAAUAAAUAAAAUUUUACUAUUUUCAUA